rnacentral:rRNA from 1 species
CCUACGGGGGGCAGCAGUUAGGAAUCUUGGGCAAUGGGCGCAAGCCUGACCCAGCCAUGCCGCGUGUGUGAAGAAGGCCUUCGGGUUGUAAAGCACUUUCAGCGGUGAAGAAAAGCUCAGGGACAAUACCCCUAGAGUCUUGACGUUAGCCACAGAAGAAGCACCGGCUAACUCCGUGCCAGCAGCCGCGGUAAUACGGAGGGUGCGAACGUUAAUCGGAAUCACUGGGCGUAAAGCGCGCGUAGGCGGUUCGUUAAGUGGGAUGUGAAAUCCCCGGGCUUAACCUGGGAAUUGCAUUUGUGACUGUAUAGCUAGAGGACGGUAGAGAGGGAUGGAAUUCCGCGUGUAGCAGUGAAAUGCGUAGAUAGGCGGAGGAACACCGAUGGCGAAGGCAAUCCCCUGGACCUGUACUGACGCUCAUGCACGAAAGCGUGGGGAGCAAACAGGAUUAGAUACCCUAGUANUC